rnacentral:rRNA from 1 species
CAGGCUUAACACAUGCAAGUCGAGGGGCAGCAUUUUAGUUUGCUUGCAAACUGAAGAUGGCGACCGGCGCACGGGUGAGUAACACGUAUCCAACCUGCCGAUAACUCCGGAAUAGCCUUUCGAAAGAAAGAUUAAUACCGGAUAGCAUACGAAUAUCGCAUGAUAUUUUUAUUAAAGAAUUUCGGUUAUCGAUGGGGAUGCGUUCCAUUAGUUUGUUGGCGGGGUAACGGCCCACCAAGACUACGAUGGAUAGGGGUUCUGAGAGGAAGGUCCCCCACAUUGGAACUGAGACACGGUCCAAACUCCUACGGGAGGCAGCAGUGAGGAAUAUUGGUCAAUGGGCGAGAGCCUGAACCAGCCAAGUAGCGUGAAGGAUGAAGGCUCUAUGGGUCGUAAACUUCUUUUAUAUGGGAAUAAAGUUUUCCACGUGUGGAAUUUUGUAUGUACCAUAUGAAUAAGGAUCGGCUAACUCCGUGCCAGCAGCCGCGGUAAUACGGAGGAUCCGAGCGUUAUCCGGAUUUAUUGGGUUUAAAGGGAGCGUAGGUGGAUUGUUAAGUCAGUUGUGAAGGUUUGCGGCUCAACCGUAAAAUUGCAGUUGAAACUGGCAGUCUUGAGUACAGUAGAGGUGGGCGGAAUUCGUGGUGUAGCGGUGAAAUGCUUAGAUAUCACGAAGAACUCCGAUUGCGAAGGCAGCUCACUAGACUGUCACUGACACUGAUGCUCGAAAGUGUGGGUAUCAAACAGGAUUAGAUACCCUGGUAGUCCACACAGUAAACGAUGAAUACUCGCUGUUUGCGAUAUACAGUAAGCGGUCAAGCGAAAGCAUUAAGUAUUCCAUCUGGGGAGUACGCCGGCAACGGUGAAACUCAAAGGAAUUGACGGGGGCCCGCACAAGCGGAGGAACAUGUGGUUUAAUUCGAUGAUACGCGAGGAACCUUACCCGGGCUUAAAUUGCAACAGAAUAUAUUGGAAACAGUAUAGCCGUAAGGCUGUUGUGAAGGUGCUGCAUGGUUGUCGUCAGCUCGUGCCGUGAGGUGUCGGCUUAAGUGCCAUAACGAGCGCAACCCUUAUCUUUAGUUACUAACAGGUUAUGCUGAGGACUUUAGAGAGACUGCCGUCGUAAGAUGUGAGGAAGGUGGGGAUGAUGUCAAAUCAGCACGGCCCUUACGUCCGGGGCUACACACGUGUUACAAUGGGGGGUACAGAAGGCGGCUACCUGGUGACAGGAUGCUAAUCCCAAAAACCUCUCUCAGUUCGGAUCGAAGUCUGCAACCCGACUUCGUGAAGCUGGAUUCGCUAGUAAUCGCGCAUCAGCCAUGGCGCGGUGAAUACGUUCCCGGGCCUUGUACACACCGCCCGUCAAGCCAUGAAAGCCGGGGGUACCUGAAGUACGUAACCGCAAGGAGCGUCCUAGGGUAAAACUGGUAAUUGGGGCUAAG